UCCGAAAUGGUCCAGUGGCUAGGAUAGCGCGCUCUCACCGCGUUGGCCGGGGUUCGAUUCCCCGUUUCGGAG